rnacentral:misc_RNA from 1 species
UCAAACUUGGUCAUUUAGAGGAAGUAAAAGUCGUAACAAGGUUUCCGUAGGUGAACCUGCGGAAGGAUCAUUAACGAAUUUUGAAGAGGGUUGAUGCUGGCUUAAUCGCAUGUGCUCGCCUUUGACAUUCUUAUUAUCCAUACACCUGUGCACCUCUGAGAGGGUAUUUUCGUUCGUUCGGGAAUCCCUCUCUUAUUUACAAAACCUUUCUUAUAACAUCGAAUGUUGGUUGUGCCUUAUAGGCCUCUAAUAAAUUACAACUUUUAACAACGGAUCUCUUGGCUCUCGCAUCGAUGAAGAACGCAGC